AAGCCAUGAUGAAUAUUGCGCUCCUGUUGAGGCUGGUCCCUCACAAUUCUCUGAUUCGGGAUGAAAUUGUAGCGCUUCUGAGCUU